rnacentral:rRNA from 1 species
CAGCCGCCGCGGUAAUACGUAGGGUGCGAGCGUUAAUCGGAAUUACUGGGCGUAAAGCGAGCGCAGACGGUUAUUUAAGCAGGAUGUGAAAUCCCCGGGCUUAACCUGGGAACUGCGUUCUGAACUGGAUAGCUAGAGUGUGUCAAAGGGGGGCAGAAUUCCACGUGUAGCAGUGAAAUGCGUAGAGAUGUGGAGGAAUACCGAUGGCGAAGGCAGCCCCCUGGGAUAACACUGACGUUCAUGCUCGAAAGCGUGGGUGGCAAACAGGAUUAGAUACCCCAGUAGUCCCUGUCUCUUAUAC